rnacentral:misc_RNA from 1 species
GCAAUGCCCAGAGGUCAUAUUUGGUUCACUUGAAAAGCAAGAAUUGAAUACAAUUCGUGAAAGGGGAUUGCUUUUUCUAGUUUUAUACAGAAGAACUUCAUUUUUUUUUAAUAUAUUUGAAUAACUUGAAUUUAGGGAAAGAUGAGCAGAACAUAGAGAAGGCUCAAAUGCCCAAACUAUACAAUUAAUACAAUGAAAAUAGCAGUUGCACCCACAAAGUCCCCAGAAAAUGUUUCCAAUUCUAACUGUUUCAUGCCCCAACACACAUAAGUUAAAUAAUGCUAGCAUCUUCAUGAAACCAUUGUCAGAUUGAUAAAAUUGGACUGAGCCUAGCCACGGGGAAACAAACUAGGGAAUGAGCUCUGGGAAGGGUUAGCCCUGGUCCCUCUUCCAUGUCAACAGUACCAUUAAUGUCUCCAUCACCAACUUUCAGUUCAAAGCACUGAAUAAUAGCAGCAAGAGUUGUUGGAACAAAUUGCAGUGCAAGAGAAGCACCAGGGCAGCUUCUUCUUCCUGUACCAAAUGGCAAUAGAUGAAAAUACUGUCCCCUCACAUCCAGCAUGUUACUCUUUCCACUCCACUCUUCACUAGUAAACCUCUCUGGCCUAAAUUCAAGUGGGUUUUCCCAGUAGUUUGGAUCCCUGCCAAGUGACCAGACAUUAACAAACAGUCUGGUCUUUGCUGGAAUUGUAUAGCCAGCAAUCAUACAAUCUUCAGAUGAUUCUCUCACGAUUAAUGGGCCAGUAGGGUGAAGUCUUAAUACUUCUUUCACUAUAGCUUGGAGAUAGGGAAGGUUAGCUAUGUCUGAUUCCUGUACUAGUCUGGUCUUUCCCACAACAGAGUCAAUCUCCAGUCUUGCUUUCUCCAUCACAUGGGGGUGGUUGAUCAGCUCUGCUAGUCCCCAUUCUACUGUAAUAGAAGAUGUGUCGGUUCCAGCACCAAAUAUGUUCUGUAAAAUUGAAGAUUUUGAAAAAUUAUGUCAUUUUCAAAUCCAGUUCUGUGUUAUAUACAAUUAAUAUAUAGAUUUUGCAGGUUGAUUAAUUGAUGGGGUAUAGAAUUAGUUUGUAUUUAAAUUUUUGAUGCAAUAACUAGUUUUGUUGGUCAGGAUGCUUUUCCGAGAACAGUUACUUACCAUUAUGAAUGCCUUAAUGUUUUCUCUGGUUAAUCUCCUCUCUGCAUUUUCAUCUUCAUAUAUAUCAAGUAAAAGAUCGAGCAAGUCCUUCAUCGUAUCACCUCCAUCACCCACUUCCUCAUUUUUCCUCGCAUCUUCAUGCUUCUUCAUGAUCCUUUCCAUCAUAUUGUCAUACCUGUCUCGAGCAUCCUUCAGCCUUUUCUCAAAACCCUGCAAAUCCAAGUUCUUGCAGAACCAAAUCGAAUCUGACAAAUUGAACUUUGCACCUAACUCAUUCAGCUCUUUCACCAGCUUUCUUACCUCACCAGCUUCAUCUUCUUUAUCAGAACACCUUGUUCUGAGUACCAUUCUUGAUAUUAUGUUAUUUGUCAAUCUCAUUAACUCUCCUCCAAUAUUCACAGCUUCUUUUGCUUCAGCUUUCUUCAGUACUACCUUCAAAAACCGCUUUGUCUCUUCCUGUCUAAUCGGGAGGAACUGAUCUAGCGUUCGACUGCCUAACAAUUCAGUCAUGCAUAGUUUCUUCAUGAACUUCCAGUGGGGUCCAUAAGGUAUGGUAGCAAAAUCUGCUGAGCCAUAGGUAAGAUAAUCAAGGUUAGCUACUUUUGGCCGGUUCAUGAAAUUUGAUUCAUUGUUUUUAAGUAUUUCUUUUGCCAUUUCAGGUGUGGAAGCAAGAACACAAGGCUUUGAGCCAAUGAAGAAGUAAACUAAAGGUCCAUAACGGAUUGAGAGUUUGUGAAAAGCUUGGUGAGGAAUAGGACCUAGGAGGUGCAUAUGUCCUAUAAUCGGCAGGGCUCUAGGGCUUGGUGGAAGGCGAUAUUUGUUCCGAGCUUUGUCAAAGAUGAUCAGGAGAAUGAAGAAGGAAGCUAGGAAGAUAAGGAUUUGUAUGGCAUAAUCUUGCAUAUCAGCCAUAGUUGAAAUGCUUGCAUAAUAGAAUAGCUCCAUAGAGGUGCUUAAAUAAGAAUUAACAUAUAUUUAUCUUUUUCUUUAUUGUGAUCAUAAAUUUGGCAGGAUGAUGAAGAGAGAUCAGGUCAGCAAAUACUCCACAAGUGAUUAAUGCUUAUUUAUUUAUUAGCAUAGAUCAGACACCCACAAGAUCAAAUUUUUAAAGACAGCCUUAAUUUAGAGACAAAUUAUUAGUUAGUUUCAGGACCACUCUCGUAGGGGUUAUCCAUCAAGCAAAGCAUAAGCAAGUUUGUCCUGUAUAAUCCAUUCAAUAUAAUACUUAGGUUUUGUUUAUAUUUUUCUUGCUUAA